rnacentral:rRNA from 1 species
CGGCGUGGGUAUGGACAUGGGGGAACCCUGAUCCAGCAAUGCCGCGUGUGUGAAGAAGGUCUUCGGAUUGUAAAGCACUUUUGGCAGGGACGAUGAUGACGGUACCUGCAGAAUAAGCCCCGGCUAACUUCGUGCCAGCAGCCGCGGUAUUUAUACGUGCCAGCAGCCGCGGUAAUAAACUUUUUUCCCCCCCGC